rnacentral:tRNA from 1 species
GGAGACUUGGCUGAGUGGUUUAAAGCGGCAGUCUUGAAAACUGUUGGGUACGUUAUGUGCCCCGAAAGUUCGAAUCUUUCAGUUUCCG